rnacentral:tRNA from 1 species
GCGCGGGCCAGGCGCUCGUAGUUCAGCCGGAUAGAGUAGUGGCUUCCGAAGCCAUUGGUCGGGGGUUCGAAUCCCUCCGGGCGCACCAGUUCAGUUCCAGAGCUUGUGCUGGGAUUU